UUUUUUUAUUCUAAUCUUCUGUAUGAGUUUCAUAAAAAAAUUUUCCCCAAUAAAUUUUGAAUAAUUGGUAUCAAAGCUUGAAUUUUGUAAAAAAUUACGAUCAAAAUAAAAAAUCAAUCCAGUAGUUCCAAUCAAACAAACAAAAAAUAUAUAUAUAAAAAGAGGAAAGGAAAAGGGACGGUUUUCCCUGUGGCCGUGCCCUCUUCUCCUUUUCUUCUCGCCAGACGGACCAAUCUCCAGCAAGAUCGAGCUCAGGCCACCAUCGGGGCCAGCCCCCAAGGCCGGUGAUUCCUAUCCAAAUCCAAAGAGCUAAACAAAAAAAUUAGAGAAAUAAAUCUAGAUGAAGAGGGACGAAUCUUCAGUGGCAUCCCCUCUUCUAUCCUUCUUUUCGCUAGCGUGAUGGGAUCACGAUUCGACGGUGAUUGAGAUGAGCUGGCAGUGAGGAGCCGGUGAUCUCCGUCCGGAUCCUAAGAUCCAAACAAGCAAAAAAAGGGAUUGAGGGAUGGUGGUUCCUGCCGCCGUGCCCUCUUCCCUCCUCUCAAAUAGUGCCAGACUGGUCAUCGACGGCCAUCUGGAUGAAGUCGAUAAUGAUACCGAAGAGCGAACACAGGCCC
rnacentral:lncRNA from 1 species